UACGUAGGUGGCGAGCGUUGUCCGGAUUUAUUGGGCGUAAAGCGCGCGCAGGCGGCUCGUUAAGUCCGCUGUGAAAUCUCCCGGCUCAACUGGGAGGGGGCGGUGGAGACUGGCGGGCUCCGAGGGACCGAGAGGCCGGUGGAAUUCCCGGUGUAGUGGUGAAAUGCGUAGAGAUCGGGAGGAACACCUGUGGCGAAGGCGGCCGGCUGGGGGUUACCUGACGCUGAGGCGCGACAGCGUGGGGAGCGAACCGG
rnacentral:rRNA from 1 species